AUGGCCUGGCCUCCUGUCCUGCUCCUCUUCCUGCUAGCUCAGUACCCAGGGUCCUGGGCGCAGACUGGACUGACACAGGAGGUAUCGGUGUCAGGGUCUGUGGGACAGACAGUCACCCUCACCUGCACUGGAAACAGCAACAAUGUUGGUUACUAUAGUACAGGCUGGUACCAGCAGAUUCCUGGUGCUGCCCCCAAGCUUGUGAUGGAUGGAAGUAGUAGACCCACAGGGAUCCCAGAUCGGUUCACAGGUUCUCAAUCUGGAAACAAGGCCUCUCUAACCAUCUCAGGCAUCCAGUCUGAGGAUGAGGCUGAUUAUUACUGUUCUUCAUGGGACAAAAGUAUCAGCGGUGCCACAGUGCUUCAGAUUCAAGGGGAAAUGAGACAGAAACCCAGCCCUGGUCUAAGUGAUCCCCCACAGAUCAGCCUGUGUCAUACUGGAAACAGCUGUGGACACUGCACUGUCUGGAUGAUAAGUAUGCAAAAGGAAGAAAAAGACAAAGAAGAGCAGACCUCAGUUCCUGCUCAGGGUGAAGCAGAGAUCUCCAAUAUGGGCAACAAAUUUGCAUGA